rnacentral:rRNA from 1 species
UAACGUGCAAUUUGUUCGUGAGACUUGAGUAUAGGGGCGAAAAACCAAUCGAACCAUCUAGUAGCUGGUUCCCUCUGAAAUUUCUCUCAGGAUAGCAGGAAAAUGUCAGUUUUAUCAGGUAAAGCUAAUGAUUAGAGGCAUCGGGAUAAUUUUAUCUCGACCUAUUCUCAAACUUUAAAUUGGUAAGAUCAGAAGGUUUUCUUAAUUGAACGUUCUGGAUAAAUGUGUUUUCCUAGUGGGCCAUUUUUGGUAAGCAGAACUGGCAAUGAGGGAUGAACCUAACGUUAGGUUAAAGUGCCAAAUUCACAAUCAUCAGAACCCACAAAAGGUGUUAGCCCAUUAAGACAGCAGGACGGUGUCCCUAAGAGCAGGAAUCCGCUAAGGAGUGCCUUCAAGCUCACCUGCCGAAUGUGUUAGCCCUGAAAAUGGAUGGCGCUAUAUUGUGAAACUGAUACCUAACCAUCAGAGCAAGAUUUGGCUUUGAUGAGUAAGAGGGCGUGGGGAUGGUGUAGAAGCUUCCAUGUGAAUGGGUGUGGAGCCUUCUCUAGUGCAGAUCUUGGUAGUAGUAGAACUUAUUCAAAUGAGAACUUUGAAAGCCGAAGUGGAGAAGGUUUCAUGACACAUCACUUGAUUAUGAGUUACUCGGUCCUAAUGCGAUGGGAAAAUCCUAGAUGAAAUUACUUCAUUGCAGAAAGGGAAUCAGCUAAUAUUCCUGAAGC